AUUUCCAUCUCACCUAUUCUUUUCUGUUUGGGGUUCUCUAGUCUAGGGUUGCAUGACAUGAGAGACAUGGCUCUUUUUUUUUUUUUUCAGUUCACAGGUGUUUAUAUAUGUUGUUGUGUUAUUUUGUCUUAAAGCUUUGUGAUUGAUGAUCUGAUAGGUAAGAGAGAGCUUUCUUCAGUCCACUCAUGGGAUGGGGAUGGGGUUUAAUUAGCUGCCGACUCAUUCAUCCAAAUACUGUGUUACAAAACCCAGUAAAUGAGUGAAUGAUGCGGGAGACAAAUUGAAUCCUAAUCUUCCUGUGCUUGGACUGAAGGGAGCUCCCUCCCUCCUUUGCUAUUAUUUUAUUUAAUCCUUUUCAUGAUUUUCUAUUUUUAUUUCCUCACAUCACGAUUUUAUCAACACCCCAAACGCUACUUUUCUCAAGGUUUUUCAUGACAGCCACUGCGAGGUAAUGUUGGAAUCAUGAUCAUCAUCCUUAACUUUAACUGUAACUUAUUCGUUUGUUGUUCAUGGACAUUUACAUAGAUAUUCUCAACUUCUUAAUGGCGGUGGCUUCUCAUUCUUUGUCUGUACUACGAAAGGAAGCAUUGUUUUUGCUCUUAAAGGAAAUUGUGCAGCAGUUUCCUCACUCUAGGGCUGAGAUUUCAGCUCUCGAGAACUUGGAGCCCAGAUAUUUUUAGGGUUUUACUGUGAAGCUGCUGUUGCAGACUUUCUUGUUUAAAGCUCCCACCUAAAAAAGGCAACCAUAUGGGAGGCGAAGCUCUCAUAAAGGACACGCUCCACGAAAAAAGCCUUCUUGGGUCUUGCUCUCUUACUGCAACAAGUUCCUAGACAUGUCUGUUUGCCCUCCCAGUUCAUGUGCAAUUACACAAAUAUCCUUUCAGGCGUCUUAAAGUUUUGGGUCCAAGAUUUGCAGAAAUAUGGAAAACUUGUAAUUUGUUCUAAGCUUUGUUUGUUUGUUUUUUUUGUUCAACUAGCUCUUGGGGUUGCUGGUAAAACUAGUCAGAAGGGCAUAAUCCCAGUUUUGUUUUCCUUGCUGCCCUGAAAAAAACACACAUGCAUUCAACCAGACAUAAUUGAAGCAACAACAUCAAUGACUGCCGAGAACUCUCAACCAGCUUUUCCUUUGCUAGAUAAACUGUUGAUGAUAAAAUAUCAGAGUCAAGGGUAACAUUAAAUAUAGGAUUGUUCAGUUUGUAGUUCUCUUGCCUAAAAUGUACUGCGGACUGAGUUGAGCAUAUACACUACGAAUUUUUGCUGUAUGUAUUGAAUGGGAUGCUGAGGUUUCUAGGGCCUAGGGCGAUUGUAACUAUGAUCUUUACGAUUCCAUAGCAAAUUUUCAUCAUUGUAGUGAGUGUAAUUGUGUACAACAGAAGACUCUUUCAGUAGUAUUUCGGGGUAAAUUAUAUACGAUGUAAAGCAAUACUAAAUCAGCCAAGUAGCUAAGUGAAAGGCUACAGAAUAUUAAUUUAUUAACUGAAUUCACUGCCUGUGAUGUUCCCUCGUACAGAAAAUGGAAGCUUUUGCAAAAGGAAAUAAAUGGCGAUUACCGGUUAGGUCAUCCCCGAAGCUAAUGGACGUACAAAGCAGAUUUCAUCUUUAGUUACGUCAUGUUUUAGAUGUGUUUAUUUUAUGGUUUUUGUAAGUAAUAAGUUAUAAAUCUAGUCUGCUGAUUGUGCAGUGUUUAUACAAACUUUCAAAA